rnacentral:rRNA from 2 species
UCUAAACGACUCUCGGCAACGGAUAUCUCGGCUCUCGCAUCGAUGAAGAACGUAGCGAAAUGCGAUACUUGGUGUGAAUUGCAGAAUCCCGUGAACCAUCGAGUCUUUGAACGCAAGUUGCGCCCGACGCCUUCGGGCUGAGGGCACGCCUGCCUGGGCGUC